GUCUUCAGUAGUAUGUCACAGAGAUACAGUGACUUUGUUUUUCCUUUUGAAUUUUGUCAAAGGGUGAGGCAGAAUUUGCCCGAAUUAUGUCUUUGGUUGAUCCCAAUGGGCAGGGAACCGUCUCUUUCCAGUCUUUCAUUGACUUCAUGACCAGAGAGACUGCGGACACAGACACGGCUGAGCAAGUCAUAGCUUCUUUCAGAAUCCUAGCUUCGGAUAAGCCUUAUAUUCUUGCAGAAGAGCUGCAGAGAGAACUGCCUGCUGAAAAAGCUCAGUAUUGCAUCAGAAAGAUGCCUCCCUAUUCUGGACCAGGUGCUGUUCCUGGAGCCCUGGAUUAUACCUCAUUUUCAUCAGCAUUGUAUGGAGAAAGUGACCUGUGAUUCAAUAACUGAUGGUACUCAUUGUAUGCCAUUGUAUUCAAAUUGGAAAAACAACAACCCUGGUCUCCCAGUUUGCUUCUUGAAAGCAUUGACAAGAUGAUUUUAAAAUGAUUUUUACAAAUAUAGUAGAUACAUUCAGGGUCAAAUGUUAGGAAUGCAAAUAACUAGCAUAUAUUUCAGUGUGCACCAUUUGUAGGUUUCUGCAUUAAUGGCAUUAGUUUAUCUGGCAUAUAUUAUUAAACUGUAUUUUAAAGAAAAGGUGAAUCACUAAUUUGAAAAUAAAAGUAUUAAAUGUGUGACCCAUUCAGAAAAAAGAAAUUAAAGCUCGUGAAAAUAAAAAUUAUUCAAACUAACAAAAUAUUUUGCCAUUUUCAAAAAUUUCUUCAUUUAAUCUAUGCUGCUUUUAUUAUGGUCAUAGAGCUCUAUGUUUGAAGUCAUACUUUUUUCUUUCAUAUAAAAAUAUUACUUUACAGAUGUUGUGGUUUAUAUGCUUCCCUGGGUGGAGUUUAAUAAAAUAAAAAUACAACUUUUCAGAGAAGAAAAAUACCAUUCAAGUAAAAUACAUAAUCACUAAAAUAAUCCCAAACUGCAUUUUUUAUGUUUUAAAUAUGGUAUUUUAUUAACACAAAGCUGUAAUAUCAAAAGCAUCAUGCUGCAAACUCAUAAUACAUUACAAUUGUAAUAUCUUAUAAUAAAUCUAUAAGCAGUACUUUUAAGCCUUUUACUUUGCAUCUGAGGGCACGUCUACACAGCAGGGCUAAAGCCAAAAUAAGCUAUACAACUUGAGCUACGUCAAUUGCAUAGCUUAAGUCAAAAUAUCUUAUUUCGGCUUUUGACGCUGUCUACACAGCAGGAAGUCUGAGAGCAUUCUUCCUCCGAUUUCCCUUACUCCUCGUAAAAUGAGAGUUACAGGAGUUGAAGUAAGAUGUCCUCCAGCUCGACAUUAUUUGGAAACUAUGUCGAAAUAACUGCUUAUAGUGUGGACGUGGACUAUGUUAUUUCGGAGUAACAUCAGUUAUUCUGAAAUAAUGCUGCUGUGUAGACAUGGCCAGAGAGAGCACAACUUUCAUCAACAGGAAAUAGUAUGGAAGCUAAUUCAUGUCAAUUGUAUUUUGAAUAGAUUUUGUUUUCCCUCUGUGAAAUCCAGUUCUUUAUUUUAUUGUUGAGCAACCUGCAUAAUCCCAUAUGAUGCAAAAUGCUAUGUGAUCUAUUUGAGUAUGGUUGUGUUGCAGUUUUAACUGUAUGUCACAUACAAAAUUCAGAUUAUAGUUUUUCACUUCCGUUGAAUGACAGUUCUGCUGCUGUAUGCUAGUUUGUUUUACUGGAGUCAUGUUUCCAUCUUGACAAACUGUCGAGAAGUAAAGUGAUCACUUUUUACUUGAAACCUAACAGACACUGAAAAAUGCAAUGUAACCAAAUAAAACAUUCACAAAUGGUGAGGUUGUGACUUGUACAACUCAAUGCUACUAAAGCAAUGAUGUGCCUACUAAAUAAACUCUGCAUUUCAAACUUUA